UACGGAGGGGGCUAGCGUUAUUCGGAAUUAUUGGGCGUAAAGGGCGUGUAGGCGGCUCUGUGUGUCCCGUGUGAAAGCCCUCGGCUCAACCGGGGAACUGCAUGGGAAACUGCGGAGCUUGAGUCCGGGAGAGGUGAGUGGAAUUCCCAGUGUAGCGGUGAAAUGCGUAGAUAUUGGGAGGAACACCAGUGGCGAAGGCGGCUCACUGGACCGGUACUGACGCUGAGACGCGAAAGCCAGGGGAGCAAACAGG
rnacentral:rRNA from 1 species